rnacentral:tRNA from 1 species
GCAGAUAUAGUUCAUCGGUAGAACGCCAGCUUCCCAAGCUGGACAGGCGGGUUCGACUCCCGUUAUCUGCUCCA